AACGAACGCUGGCGGCAUGCCUAACACAUGCAAGUCGAACGAGAUCUUCGGGUCUAGUGGCGCACGGGUGCGUAACGCGUGGGAAUCUGCCCUUUGGUUCGGAAUAACAGUUGGAAACGACUGCUAAUACCGGAUGAUGACGAAAGUCCCAAGAUUUAUCGCCAGAGGAUGAGCCCGCGUAGGAUUAGCUAGUUGGUGUGGUAAAGGCGCACCAAGGCGACGAUCCUUAGCUGGUCUGAGAGGAUGAUCAGCCACACGGGGACUGAGAAACGGCCCAGAAUCCUACGGGAGGCAGAAGUGGGGAAUAUUGGACAGUGGGCGAAGGCCUGAUCCAGCAAUGCCGCGUGAGUGAUGAAGGCCUUAGGGUUGUAAAGCUCUUUCACCCGGGAUGAUAAUGACAGUACCGGGAGAAUAAGCUCCGGCUAACUCCGUGCCAGCAGCCGCCGUAA
rnacentral:rRNA from 1 species